GUGGGGAUGACGUCAAAUCAGCAGGCCCUUAUGUCCAGGGCUACACACGUGUUACAAUGGCCAGUACAAAGGGCAGCUACCGGGUGACCGGAUGCUAAUCUCUAAAGCUGGUCUCAGUUCGGAUCGAAGUCUGCAACCCGACUUCGUGAAGCUGGAUUCGCUAGUAAUCGCGCAUCAGCCAUGGCGCGGUGAAUACGUUCCCGGGCCUU
rnacentral:rRNA from 1 species